AGGCAUGCUUGUGUGUUCAGCUCUACAAAGGACGACUAAAAGGAGAGAAACUUUCUCGUGAUGAGAAAAAGAAGAAGAAUGAAUCAGCUGGGCGGAGAUGAGCUGAGAGGCUGGACGGGAAGCUGGCGGAUUAAUACCGUUUACGUCCACGAGACGCAGCCGAGGGGGGCAGAACGGCGCAUAGAAAUCAUCUUAGACUAGAAGGGUAAGACAAGCGAUGAGAUUUUAAAGUGUAUUUUGAAGAUAAAAUCUAUUCGUCCGUUCAGUACGUUCAGAUUAACGUGUGAUGAAUAAUCAAUUGUUUUUGUCAGCUGCAUUUGUCAACCCAUCUGUAUUUCCCCUGUCCAGUGCUGUCCCUGUGUUCAUUACAAUAUAACCCCCUCCGCAAUCCUAAAACAUGUAGUUAAGUGAAUUAAGAGACGACUAUUUAGCAAGAUCUAGCUAUGUUGUUUAUUAUCGUCAUCAUCACCAUCAUCAAACCAUCUCUGUAGUAACAAGUGAAUGGUCUCUCAGAAUGAACUGUACAUAAUCGGGCCCACAGUCAGACUUCGUCAUUCCCUGCUGUUCCACCCACUGACCACAAGUCUAUUCAUCACAGUGGGACACACCCUCAAACAGCCCCUACUGUGGCACUGCUAGGCUGGAUUCCAAAAUUACCCACCGUGUAUGUGCCCUCAAACCGCCCCUGUCAGCCUGCUGGACCCUCAUCCUGCUACAGCGUCUCGAACCAAUGCAGCACGCCCUCAAGCCGCCCCUGCCAGCCCAUCGGACCCCCAUCCGAGGUGUCGGCGAAAUGGGAGGGUGAGAGGGUCUGGGACUUCCACUGCUCACGGCCAAUGAGGCCUCUUAGCUUGCUAAUGGUGAAUAGCCACUGCGCUACUGCCAGCGGCUGCAAGCUAAGCUGCAGAGGUGACACUGGUUGCCCGUGAGGAGGUGAGCCAUACUAUGGAGGCCCAGCUGCUUCCGGAGUAUUGAGCGGUGCGCAUGAGCCGGUCGAGCGACGGGUGCAGAGCGAGUAGGAUGAGGAGCAGCUGCAGCAGGAAAUGAAUGAAAAUUAACAUUAAAGCUGAUGAAAAAGCAUGAUUUUUGCACAAACGUGACCUUUUAUACUAGGCAUAAAAGACAUAAAAAUCUGGGCAACAGGUGCACCAACCUCAGCCAUCCACAGCUAGCCCCUGAUGACGAAAUUUACUUCACUUAUCGUCAUCCACAACCGAAAGUGCAUGCGGAAAAGUGAAGCGUGAAUUGGCAUUAACCAUUCUCGUUAAUCACUUCAAAGCUGCUUUUCCAAGUUCUAGAAGACAGGGCUUCAAUUGAUGAGCUGCUCCCUUAAAAUAUCCAGUAAAAAUAGGUAUAAUUGUUGCUUUGGAUAAAAAUAUCUAUCGCUUCUCUAUGACACUUGCCUUUCGAUCACAACAUUGUUAGAUGAUGCUCAUCUCCUACCUAGACAACUGCAAUUCCCUUCAAACUGGCCUUCUGGAAUGUGAAGCAAAAGCACAUAAUAGAGAAAGAAAUGGUCAUACAGGUUAAGGAAAUCAAUUAUUUCUGUUAACACAAACUGGAUGACACUUUCCAGCUAAAGAAUAAACAGGAUGUAGUGCUAUGCACUGUCAAUGAAACUGUUUGCAAAGACCAUGACCAUGUCACACCCUUGUUUUAUUUCCCACGCCUGUCCCAUUGGCUAGUGCCCCUGCCCCCACUCCGAUCCACACCCCCCCCAAAACUAAUGCUAUCAGCCAAGGUCACUGUUGUUUGCGUCCUGUCAGCCUUCUAUAAACUCUCACUCAAGGUGGACCAACAUCAUCAGCAUCGCUAUUUGCUACUGUGGUCUGCAUGGUCAGCUUUGCUGACCUCAUGACAAGCAUACUUUGCACAUGAUGGCCUUUAUGUCUGGCAGGGACAGGCUGACUCCUAGCCAAACCUCCCAUGGUCUUGAAGGGUAAACAGGAGAUAUAGCGUCAAAGUCCUUGACUCGCGGCUAUGACGUCAUCUGUCUCUACAUCUAUGUAAGAGAUACUUAGUUUACAACAGCUCAUUAAAUGUUCAGGAAUAAUGGGCAAAGUAUAAACCUGAGCUGUACAUGGAUAAAAUGAUCCUGUCCAGUGACUGUGAAGCAAACAUCUAACUGUGGGCCUGAUGAAAAACAGGCUGACUUAGUGUAGAUGAGAAAGGGAAAAUGAGGACACUGCUUAUAUUGCUCAGAUGUGUAAUUAUCUUCCCAUAUGUGAACUGUCUGGUUUAAGAGCAGUAUAUCAUUCCAUAAAGACUUCAUUAAAGACCCCAGUACACAUUGACCCCUCAUGUCAACAAGCCUUACUUCUCAAUUUUUGAUUGCCAGAUAAGGGAUUAUACAUUCUAAUCCUUCACCAACAGUUCCAUCCUCUUGACCUGACUAGAGCUGCAUUAACAAACAAUCCAGCCCAGCACAUGACCUUCUCCCAGAGGUCACAUAAACAUUAAUCCCAAUUUCCCAGUAUUUCCGCCUCCCUCCUCCCUAGGACUCACAACAGGUUAAUUAGAGGAGGUGCAUAUACAGUAUAUGGCAUGCAUGCUGCAUGACACCUUACAUGAGUGCUAGAACAAAACAAUGCUGUUGGAUAAAACUCAAACCCAAAGUCUUAAAGUACAAUGGAAGCUUAUAUUAAAAUGUUAAUAUUUAAUUAUUCUCUGUAUGGAUACAUGCUUCAAUUUACAUGUGUUAUGAUUACGUUUAGUAUAAUAUAAAAAGUUAUUGGGUAAUAAUUUGGUCUACAUGUCUAAAUAUGUAUAAAAAAUUAAACUCUGAAAAUUGCUUUCUAAAACUUAUAACAAUAACUUUACAAAAUGUGUUUUUGCCUCCCAGUUUUGAGUCUUUUGUGCCUAGAAAUUUUGCAUAUACUCUAUGUCAAAAUAUGUGUAACUCAGUCCAUUAUGAUGAAUGGUAAAGACAGUAUGUUCUUUUACAUAUUAAAAUAAUAAUCUGUGACUACCUCUCCAGGCAUGGCAGUUUCCCUCUAUCCAUUUCCUGUACCCAAGGUAUUGGGGUUCCAGAGUCUAUCCCAGAAGAUAUGGGCAAAAGGCAGGCAAUAGUGCAUGAUGGGGCAUCAACCCAUUGCAGGGAAAACACAUACUGUACACCACUCACACACACAAUUUACACCUAUGGACAACUUGGCAACUCCAAUUCACCUUUUUUGGACAAUUUACCUUUUUGGGGGAAAGUGGAGAACCUGGAGGAAACCCCAUAAUGACAUGGGGAGAACAUGCAAAGUGCUGGGGCGGAGACUCAAACCCUGAUACCUGAUGCAACAGAGCUAACCAUCAUUUCAAAUAUGGAAGUUGUACAAUACUGGAACAGGGCAUUUGUCAUGAGGCUGAAGCAGGUGUGUUAAAUUAGGGCUGCACCUAAGCUCUGCAGAGUGGGAGAUCUCCAGGAGCAGGAAUGAACAGCCCUGACUUAAGUGCCUGUAUUUUUUGUUGGGCAACUAUUGUUUGACAUAAUGUCUGUGUUCGUCCAUGAAUCUGCAACAAGGUGGGGAUUAGUCCUUCUUGGUUGC